UUUUAAUCUGUUGAUUUAUAUCUUAGCAGAGGCAUCUCUUUUGAUUUAUCAAAAAUAUACUUGUUUGAGAUUGUAUGUGAACAUUUUUGUAAUGAGGGUCAGAUAAGUUCAUGGUACAGCCAUAAUAAUUUCCAUUCGAUAAAUUAUAUUGUCACUGUAUUUGUAUUUUUAUAAGUGUAUUUUUACUUUCAUUGUUAAAAUUUGCCAAAAAAAUCAUGGAUAAAACCAGACUGACAGCAAAAUAGUGACUAUCUUUAGCAAAAAGAAAUGUUGAAAUUUAAAUGUUCC
rnacentral:lncRNA from 1 species